rnacentral:tRNA from 1 species
GCUUUCGUGGUGUAGUGGUUAGCACGCUGGUCGUGUAUUCCAGAGUUUCGAGGUUCGAGUCCCGGCGCAGGUG